GUCAUCACCGGCGGCCGAGAUAGACGUGUUUCGGAUUUCCUCAAAUAAAUCCGUUCAGCGCCGAGAUUUUGGGUCAGCGCUUUGGUCAACGAGAAAGCUGUGAAACUACCCGGAUGUACAAGCAGCUUGGGUUGUCCUUGGGAAACUUUUACCGAGAAUUUUGCCUACCUCGAGGAAGGCGACUUCCAUAAACUUUGUGGAGCUUAUUCGAGCACUGUGCUCGAGAGUUAUCACAGAUAUGCUUACUAUAUGACUGAAGACUGGAUGCAAGGAAGUCAACAAAAGGAUGUAGCUUUUAUUUUCUUUAUUUUCGCAGUGAUAAUACUAUUAUUUUCCUUUCGAGCGAGCUGAUAAGUUAGAGGCAUCUCGUGAAUGAACAGAUACAUGGCUCAAUAGUAAUGCUAAAACUCGACCGCCCGUCGGUCCGUGCAAAGGACAACAAACACCCAAAAGUUGCAGUGAAACAUUUCAAGGAGAUUGUAUUUUUUCCGGUUCAUGUCCAUCAACUUUGAAUAAAUUGAACAGCACAA
rnacentral:lncRNA from 1 species